rnacentral:lncRNA from 10 species
AGAUCUGAAAAACAUGUACCUUGAGUUCUUCUAAUUUAUUAAUAUGAGUUUUUUCUAUUUUAGAACUAUUAACCAUUAGCAAAAUCUGCCGAAGGUAACUGUGACAUCUAUAGUAUCAUUACAGUAACUUUCAAAUGUAUUCUUUUUUGAGUCAUCAAAAUCAAAAAAGCACUCACACUAAAGAUAGGUAAAGGUUUCAGUCUCAAAACUUCCUUCUAACCAGAUCCUAAGCAUAAGCAACUUGCGUACAUGUGGCAUUUAUGGUAAUGUGAAUUUCUUUUCCAGGCAACAGAGAAGAAAGGGAUCUGUAUUAGUCUCCUACUCCUGUGCAUGUUUCUGAGUCCUCAGGAUCUCAGUAAUCUUGUCAACCUGUUUUGUGGCAUCAGGCUUAAUCCAAUACCAGCCUCCCUCUUAUAGUGCGUGAAAUGGACUGAUUGAGAAGAAUAGGGUUUCUCAUUAAAUGAGGCAUUAGAUUCUCUUCCUCUCAGCCUUACUCCCUUUUUAUAUGAUUAGCAUGGAUUUAGAUGGUGGCAGUGAAUUACUUUAUCUUCAGAGAUGUUACACAUUUAUAGAAGCAGCUCUCCUUAUUGUUUUCUAGACAGUAUGGUCCCAGGAGUAAGCGUCACUGAGCAGCAGCCCUUCAUUAAAAUUUCUUGUGUCCUUUUCUUUUUCAUGACAAAUCUUUCAGGAAUCUAAGAGACCAGUAAAAGAUAACCUUAUGAUACAUUAUGUGCUGUUGCAUUUCUACUCUUUCCGGAUGCGAAAGUGGAUAUUGACUUCAUAAAUUCAACACUACUUGACUUUGAUUGACAGAUUUCACAUGCCAUGUUCUGUGUGCUUCAAGAUCCGUAAAAUAGGUUUAAAGGAUCUAUGAAUGGCAAAACUGUUGACUUGAAGACCAACUAGAGAAGGUUCAAGAAUGCUAUGGCAAUUGUCAUGAUGUGUCCACUGUGCAUUUUCCUUCUGGCUCCCCGACCUUCUCAGAUGUUUCAGAUAAGAGUUUUUGUUAGCUAAUAGAUCAAGUUGUAUUAUGGAAACCAUUGCAGUCUAAUUUCAUCUGUGUUUAUGAAAAUCUUGCAUAUAUUCUACCUGUAUUGUAUUUUACCUAAGUUAUUAAAAUAUAGUAGCUGGUGAACCAAGACUGUUGUUAUUAUUGUCAUUAUUCUUGUCUUUUUCUCCUCCUCCUUAACAUUAGUUAUAACUUUUCUUUUUUUUUUUUUGAGACGGAGUCUCGCUCUGUCCCCCAGGCUG